UGAAUACGAGACGCUAAGGCGUCGAAGUAGUGUAUAUCAUACUUCCAAGAAAAGCUUGCAAUGUCAUAGAUAAAAAACGCCUGUACCAUAACCGACACAGGUGGGUAGGUAGAGUAUACUAAGGGGCGCGAGAUAACUCUCUCUAAGGAACUCGGCAAAAUAACUCCGUAACUUCGGGAGAAGGAGUGCCUUAUUCGUAAGGUUGCAAUAACAAGAUCCAAGCAACUGUUUAUCAAAAACACAGGUCUCCGCUAAGUCGCAAGACGAUGUAUGGGGGCUGACGCCUGCCCAGUGCCAGAAGGUUAAAGAAGUUGGUUAGCAAUUGCGAAGCUGAUAACUGAAGCCCUGGUGAACGGCGGCCGUAACGAUAACGGUCCUAAGGUAGCGAAAUUCCUUGUCGGGUAAGUUCCGACCCGCACGAAAGGCGUAAUGAUUUGGAUACUGUCUCGGAGAGGGGCUCGGUGAAAUAGACUGUCUGUGAAGAUGCGGACUACCUGCACCAGGACAGAAAGACCCUAUGAAGCUUUACUGUAACUUGAAAUUGAAAUUGGACUUUAUUCGCGCAGUAUAGGUGGGAGGCUUUGACUAUAAUCUUGCGGGAUUAUUGGAGCCAUCAGUGAGAUACCACUCUUGUAAUGUUAGAUUUCUAACUUUGAAUCAUUAUCUGGUCAAAGAACAGUUUCAGGCGGGCAGUUUGACUGGGGCGGUCGCCUCCUAAACGGUAACGGAGGCGUACAAAGGUUUCCUCUGAACGGUUAGAAAUCGUAUCUAGAGUGUAAAGGCAUAAGGAAGCUUGACUGUGAGACCUACAAGUCGAGCAGGGACGAAAGUCGGUCUUAGUGAUCUGACGGUACUGAGUGGAAAGGCCGUCACUCAACGGAUAAAAGUUACUCUAGGAUAACAGGCUGAUCUCCCCCAAGAGUUCACAUCGACGGGGAGGUUUGGCACCUCGAUGUCGGCUCAUCGCAUCCUGGGGCGGUAGUACGUCCCAAGGGUUGGGCUGUUCGCCCAUGAAAGCGGUACGCGAGCUGGGUUCAGAACGUCGUGAGACAGUUCGGUCCAUAUCCGGUGUAGGCGUUAGAAUAUUGAGAGGAGCCUUCUUUAGUACGAGAGGACCGAGAAGGACAUACCUCUGGUGUACCAGUUAUCGUGCCAACGGUAAACGCUGGGUAGCUAUGUAUGGAGUGGAUAACCGCUGAAAGCAUCUAAGUGGGAAGCCCACCUCAAGAUAAG
rnacentral:rRNA from 1 species